UGAGGAAUAUUGGUCAAUGGAAGGAAUUCUGAACCAGCCAUGCCGCGUGCAGGAAGACGGCUCUAUGAGUUGUAAACUGCUUUUGUACGAGAGUAACCAUGAUUACGUGUAAUCAUCUGCAAGUAUCGUACGAAUAAGGAUCGGCUAACUCCGUGCCAGCAGCCGCGGUAAUACGGAGGAUCCGAGCGUUAUCCGGAUUUAUUGGGUUUAAAGGGUGCGUAGGCUGUUCUAUAAGUUAGAGGUGAAAAGCAAGGGCUCAACCGUUGUCUUGCCUCUAAUACUGUAGAGCUAGAGAUUAGUUGCAGCUGGCGGAAUGUGUGGUGUAGCGGUGAAAUGCUUAGAUAUCACACAGAACACCGAUUGCGAAGGCAGCUGGCUAAGCUAUAUCUGACGCUGAUGCACGAAAGCGUGGGGAUCAAACA
rnacentral:rRNA from 1 species